CGAAGGAGAGGGCGGUGAAGAUGAGGUGCAGCAGCUCCGGGGGGGUUGGUUCACUCACGUGCUGGUAGGUCCUGCCCUGCGUGGGGAGGGGAAAAGGGGUCCUCAUGCAGCCCCCACUGUCCCCACAGAGCCCCCCCAUCCCCACACAGCCCCCAGUCUGGCAGGGACAUGCCAGGUAUGUCCCCAAGCCAUUGGGGUCACCUCCAACCCAAGGGGACUCACCAUGAGGUUGAGGGUGUAUUUCACCUUCUGGAAAAAGUCCACGUAGUCGCCCUGGGGGGGCAGAGCUGGAGGGGCAGAGAUGGGGGGGGCUGGCACCGGGAUGACCCCCCAGCCCCCAACCAAUGGCACAUUUCCCCCCCUCACCACCUUUCUUCUUCUUCUUCUUCUUCACAUUGGUGUUGGCCAAGCCCAGCGCUGCCUUCAGGCGGCUGACGAAGAGGUCCAGCUCAUCCAGCACGUGGUUGAGGAUCUCCUGGAUGGAGAUGGCCAGGAUGGGACCCGCACCUUCUCCAGGCUGCUCCUCAGCAUCUCUGCCUGCACAGAACCACCACCAUCAACCCCCCAAACCCCGGGGUGCUGCCCCCCGCCCACCCCAGGACUCACCCCCGGCUGCUCGCACUGGAAGAGCAGGACGCUGCUGCCGGGGGGGCUGCGCUCCUGCACGCUGAUGGUCAACACCGAGUCGUAGCUGCAGGUGUCCAGCGCGGCCGAGCAGCCCUGGACGCUGCCCAGCGGACUUUGCCCUGGGCGUCCAGCAGCUUGAGCCGUGCCAGACAGUCCUCGGCGCUGCGCAGGUCCCGCUCCAGCCGCAAUGUCAGCAGGUGCUGGGGGGACACGGUGCCGGUGUCACCGGGUCACCCGCUGCCAUGCUUGGCAAACUAGGACCGCUCUGGUUUUUGGGCCAAACUGUCCCCACUGCAGAGGGACCAUCCUGCACCCCAGCGUGUCACCCAGCGCAGGCGAUGACACCCCUUCUGGGGUGUUUGGGGACCGUGGGUGCACAAGUACGAGCAGAACCGAGGGGACAAGGUGGGGGGAGCUGGGAACCGACCCCAGGGAGCGGGGAGGGGGUGUCGGGGCUGGGGUCGUGCCUCAGUUUCCCCAUUUCAGGGAGGGGCCGGGUGCAGUCCCCCCGCGGCCACCGGGGGGCAGCACGUCCGCACGUCGCCCUUGUCCCCAGAUGGGUGACACGCCCCCAGAUGUGAAGCCUCUCAUAUAAAGGGCCCCAGAUGUACCCCAGGUGCCACCCCAGGUCCUGCUGGCACCGCCGACCACACCAGGGUCCCUGGCACUGGGGACAUUUGGGUGACACUUCUUGGGGUGGGGGGACACAAGCGCUGUCGGGCGGGAGGAAUCCGGCUCUUUGUGGCACCCGUGGGUGGGGGGUGGGUUUGACCCCCAUCCCCCGGCAGCACCCAGGGCACGGGCAGGACCGUCCCAUCCAUGUCGCACCCUCCACGGGGACAGGGCGCUCGCCCCACCCCUCCCAGCUCCUCCCAGUCACCCCACUGGGUAAACUGGGAAUGGCGCCAGCUGCAGAAAUAUAAAAUCAUCUUAUUUUUAUCUUUUUUCCUCUCCAUUCCUGGCCAGAGGUGACACCUCCCUGCGCAGCCCCACAGCUGCUGUGUCCCUCCUCGCCCUUCCCAGGCUCGGGAAGUCCCCAGGGGCCACCAACUCCCUUGGGAAGAGCCCAGGGUGACGCCAAAGCCUUUUGCUGUUUCGGGUUUAGAAACCCCCAGUGUCAAAAUCAGUGAAUUUGCCCCAAAACGCAGCAAUUCUGGGGAGAAAAAUGGCCCCAUCCUGCACUCCCUGUAAAGCUGCUGCAAGGGACCCUGACCCACCAAGGAGACAGCCUUGGGGACACAGCUGGAUGCCCCAUGGGGACAGGAUCAGCCCCCACCUCCAGGGACAACCCGGGGCUGGUGCAGAUUUGGGGGUGCCCAGGCGGGGCGGGGGACUUUGGGGCCACCAAUUCCUGGAAUUCCCGGUGACACAUCACUCCCGGCCAGGUGCCACCGGGGCCGCGGUGGCAGCUGUGGCUCUGGGCGCCGGCCAGCGGCACAAACCGCCGGCCAGCCGGGAUCCGUCCCCACGUCACCGAGGCCGAGCGCGGGGCGGACCGCGGUGUACCCGGACCUGCCGCCUAAUUGCUGGGGACCAGCAGCUCCCCGUCAUUCUGGGGACAUGUGGGGACGGUUUAACCCCUCGGGAGCUGGGAAGUUGUGUCGGGUUGUUCUCCCCCAGGCUGGAGGAACAGGACAGCGUGUCACAGCCCCCAGGGUUGGGAUGUCCCUUUGGUGAUGCCCAAACCCACAAGUCCUCCGUGGGGUCUCUUUGGUGGUGACGGUGACAAGCUGAUGUCCCAACCAUCACGGCGACUAGGCUUGGGUGCUGAUUUGGGGUGACAUUGGGGAGUUGGUGCAGCCCUGGGAGCCAUUGCAAGGUCCCUGUCACCAUGUGGGGUCCCUGUCACCCUGUGGGUCCCUUUGCCAUGGGGACUCUCUGGGGGCUGCGUUUCCCGCUCUACCACCCCCGGAGGUCCCAUCUCGGUGUCCCCACCAAACCUUUCACUCCCUUGGGAAUGCUCUUGGCAUCACCCAAAGUCCCCUGGGGGUGCCAGCCCCGAACCCCGUGCCCCAUGGGGCGUCCUGGUCCCCCUUGCUGCGGGUUUUCCCGGUUUUGCCGCUGGGUCCCAUCUCUUCGGAGGAACAGGGUGAAAUCUCUGGGGCUUUUCUAGCCUGUCAGAUUUGCAAAACUCCCCCCGGUGACACCCCUGAGGGUUUGCAGAAGCAGCACCCCAGAAACAAGCCGCCUCCUCCGCUUUUCAACCUGCUGCUGAUCAGUUCUUUUCCCUCUCUCAUUUCCAGAGGGUGAUAUUUUACAUCCCGAGAAGCAGCCGGUCCCACGGCUUGGGCCACACACAUGGGAAAAGCAUCUUGCUUUUGGGGUGAAGAGGGAAAAGCGGUGUCCCCAUGGCCAACCCUGUUUGUGUGGGACCUGUCCUGCUUUGCUCCCCACCGUCUCCCAUCCCAGUACCACAUCCCAGCCACAUCCCGGGGAAUUCCAGAGGUGGUGAGGACCGAAAGGGUUUAAUUAGAGGUGAUGAGGCCAUGCAAAUGAGCAGGUGACAGCUGCUGUGAAAUCCUGGAGGCUUCAGAGGUGCCGGUCGGUGUUUCCCACGCUGUGGUUGCUGGGUGGGAGCAGAUGGAGAUGGUUGGGAACCCAAACCCAUUCCCAUGGACCGAUGCCGUGAGAUUUGCCUUUACACAUCAAGUCUGGGGCCACCAUGAGGAAGAUGAUGAUGAGGAGCAUGAUGAUGAUGAGGAUGGAGUCAAGCGGCACAACCGAUAGUGUUUCCAGGGAAAAGACCUUUCCAGCCUCAUCUUUCCAGGGUGGGCGGUGAACAAGGUGGCACACGGGUGACAGCAGCACAUGAUGCUGAGCUGGUCGGGGGGUGUGAUGAGCCGUUCCCUUCCCAAGUUGCUGAGUCAAGGCUCCCAGAGACCUCGUGGGCGGUGGGAUUGAUUUGGGAGCCACCAACGAGGUCCCUGGCUGGGGACAGGCGAGGAGCGUGCCACCGAGCACGGGUUCGUGUGCCGCGCUUGAUGGAGAAGCUCCGGAGGAAAUUGUGAAAGGGCAAGCAGGCACUGGCUGCAUGGGGCAGGGGGAGAUGAAGCAUGAGCUGCAGGGGGAAACCAUGGCAGGAGGUUCUUUGGGCAUUAGGUGGGGUGGGCUCUUCAUCACAUAUCAUCAGUUGUGGUGGGUUCCUCCUCAAAUGUCAUUGGUUGUGGGGGGUUCCUCUUCACAUAUCAUCAGUUGAGGUGGGUUCCUCCUCACAUGUCAUCAGUUGAGGUGGGUUCCUCCUCACAUGUCAUCAGUUGAGGUGGGUUCCUCCUCACAUGUCAUCAGUUGAGGUGGGUUCCUCCUCACAUGUCAUCAGAUGAGGUGGGUUCCUCUUCCCACAUCAUCAGUUGAGGUGGGUUCCUCCUCACAUGUCAUCAGAUGAGGUGGGUUCCUCUUCCCACAUCAUCAGUUGAGGUGGGUUCCUCCUCACAUGUCAUCAGUUGAGGUGGGUUCCUCCUCACAUGUCAUCAGAUGAGGUGGGUUCCUCUUCCCACAUCAUCAGUUGAUGUGGGUUCCUCCUCACAUGUCAUCGGUUGCGGGGGGUUCCUCCUCCCAUGUCAUCGGUUGAGGUGGGUUGCUCCUUGUGUGUCAUCAGAUGUGUCCUCAACAUGGUGCCUCGGGGGUGGGAGCUGUAUAAAAUGUGGUUGCAAAAUAGCUGGGAAGAGGGAAUUGAGGCAGGAUUAGGAGCACUACAAGGUGUUUUAAACCGAAUCCCAACUCCUACCAUCAGGUGGCAUCUGCCACACUUGCCCAUGGUCCCAGAUGCCAUGGGAGAUAUGAGACAAGCGUCUGGGUGCCCCAAGUCCCUCAGCACCACUUCCAGACCAACACAGUCAGGGCUUACUGGGGCAGGAACGGCUCCUUUUUCCCUGAAAUGUGUCUGUUUCCUGCCAGAAAAUGUCAUUCCAUCGAUGAAUAAUUGGGAUGGGAAAUGUUCGACCUUCCCUGUUGUUUGGCUCCCAUGGGAAGCUGCCGGGGAGGAGGAACUCUUGGCUCACCCAUCCCAUUCAGCCCAGUACAGCUUCUGCCGGAUACUGGGAGGGACGUGUGCCUGGAUGCCAUGAGUGUCCAAGACCAUUUACCUGCCAGCAAUGGGUUGAUCAUGUCCUAAAAUUGCUCUAACUAAGCUUUUGGAGAAGAAUUUCCAAAUCUCAGAAGGCCUGGACACUCUUCCUUUGUUUUGGCAUGUCUCUGGUCUCUUCCCAUCCAGAAACCUCAGGCGGCAUCUUCAAUGUGAACUCAACCAAAACUUGAAGGUGUUUGAUGGCUGUGUCACUGGUGGAAGAGGCAAAGCAGCAUCUUGUUGCUCCGGGCAGGACCCAAUACACCCGGCCCCGGCAUGCAGGCGGCUGCAUCUCCAGACCUCCAAAAGGAAGAUCUGCAGGUCCCGGGGCACACCCCGCGGGACACCCAAGGGUGACCCCGCACCAGGAGGAAGUGGCUCGGGAAGGGGCGUUUAAGCUGGACCAGAGGGGUUAAGCUCGGCUCUUGGGAAGAGCCGGCUCCGGUCCAGCCUGAGUAAGCCCAUCGUUCCGGCCAAAACCCGUUGCGGGGUGGAUUUUUUUGGGGCUGUAAACAGCAUUUCUCGACGGUGCCGCACGACCCGUGGGGCCGGCGGCGCUCGAACCAGGAGACGUUUUGAUAAUGUUCGUUAAUUAAAGAGCUGGCAAGAGGCGCUGGGAUGGGAACCGCAGAGGAGGUGGUUUUACUGGGGGGGUCUGCAGCUGCCCCAUCCCUGCUGCCGCUUUGGGGUCAGAUUUGGCAACCCCGCGGGUGGGCCGGAGGGGUUUGCGGUGUCUGGCCAAACCAUCCCUGCUAUUCCCAAACGCCCGCCUGGACCACCCCAAAUUUUGGGGGCACGGCAAGCAGCCGGUUGUAUCACACUGGGGGGGGAUGCUGGUGUCACCGCCGGUCCCCUGGGCACGGCGAGGCGCGGUGGAGGUGGCCGGAGGGGUUAAAUCUCCUCCUUCUCUCCAGCCUGAGUAACCCCAGCACGCUGCCAAAAUCCUGCUCGGUGCUGGGAGCCGGCGCAGGGGCUUUUUCUGCCUUAGGAGUGAUGCCGGACGCCUGGCACAGCGCCUGCGGGGGUGCGGAGCGGGGAACGCAUCCCAGCACAACCUGACCUUGGUUUGGUGACGCCAGCACCCCAAAACCCCGCAGGGUCCGUCCCCGGGACAGCACCCGGGGCGCCUGGGCUGGCUCCAGCCUCCGCGGCUCCGGCACAAGCUGCACCGUAAUUAUUUACAAGAGGCGGUGGGUGGGAGUUUCGCCUUUGCUUCCCUUUAUUUUUAAACUUAUUUUUGCUUUAUUUUGGAUUUCUGACUCAUUUCAAAGCCUGUUGCCGGGAGGAAACCGGAAUUAAAAAGUGCCCCGCAUCGUUUAUAUCAGCUCAAUAAAAUCCUCCCCCGAAAGCUCAGGGUGGAAAGUCGAGCAGCGGCUCCCCGGGGCUGCCCCGGACCCGGAGCCACUUCUCCUUCCCCCGGUCUCAUUCACACGGAGGAGGAAAACUCCAAUUUUGCUCUUUUUUUCCAAACCACAGCUGUUUUCCGGCUCUGCAGGCGCUAAGCCAGGCCUGGGGCUGCUCAGACCAUGGGGGGCAAGGGG